rnacentral:rRNA from 1 species
ACUAGGGGUGGCAGCAGUGGGGAAUAUUGGGCAAUGGGCGCAAGCCUGACCCAGCAACGCCGCGUGAAGGAAGAAGGCUCUCGGGUUGUAAACUUCUUUUAUCAGGGACGAAGCAAGUGACGGUACCUGAUGAAUAAGCCACGGCUAACUACGUGCCAGCAGCCGCGGUAAUACGUAGGUGGCAAGCGUUAUCCGGAUUUACUGGGUGUAAAGGGCGUGUAGGCGGGAACGCAAGUCAGAUGUGAAAACCAUGGGCUCAACCUGUGGCCUGCAUUUGAAACUGUUUUGCUUGAGUACUGGAGAGGCAGACGGAAUUCCUAGUGUAGCGGUGAAAUGCGUAGAUAUUAGGAGGAACACCAGUGGCGAAGGCGGUCUGCUGGACAGCAACUGACGCUGAGGCGCGAAAGCGUGGGGAGCAAACAGGAUUAGAUACCCCGGUAGUC